UCGAGCGAAUGGAUUAAGAGCUUGCUCUUAUGAAGUUAGCGGCGGACGGGUGAGUAACACGUGGGUAACCUGCCCAUAAGACUGGGAUAACUCCGGGAAACCGGGGCUAAUACCGGAUAACAUUUUGAACCGCAUGGUUCGAAAUUGAAAGGCGGCUUCGGCUGUCACUUAUGGAUGGACCCGCGUCGCAUUAGCUAGUUGGUGAGGUAACGGCUCACCAAGGCAACGAUGCGUAGCCGACCUGAGAGGGUGAUCGGCCACACUGGGACUGAGACACGGCCCAGACUCCUACGGGAGGCAGCAGUAGGGAAUCUUCCGCAAUGGACGAAAGUCUGACGGAGCAACGCCGCGUGAGUGAUGAAGGCUUUCGGGUCGUAAAACUCUGUUGUUAGGGAAGAACAAGUGCUAGUUGAAUAAGCUGGCACCUUGACGGUACCUAACCAGAAAGCCACGGCUAACUACGUGCCAGCAGCCGCGGUAAUACGUAGGUGGCAAGCGUUAUCCGGAAUUAUUGGGCGUAAAGCGCGCGCAGGUGGUUUCUUAAGUCUGAUGUGAAAGCCCACGGCUCAACCGUGGAGGGUCAUUGGAAA
rnacentral:rRNA from 1 species